rnacentral:tRNA from 1 species
UCCCUAGUAGCUCAGACGGUAAAGCGUCCGCCUGCAAUGCAGGAGACCCAGGUUCGAUUCCUGGGUCAGGAA